rnacentral:rRNA from 1 species
GACGAACGCUGGCGGCGUGCCUAAUACAUGCAAGUCGAACGAACUCUGGUAUUGAUUGGUGCUUGCAUCAUGAUUUACAUUUGAGUGAGUGGCGAACUGGUGAGUAACACGUGGGAAACCUGCCCAGAAGCGGGGGAUAACACCUGGAAACAGAUGCUAAUACCGCAUAACAACUUGGACCGCAUGGUCCGAGUUUGAAAGAUGGCUUCGGCUAUCACUUUUGGAUGGUCCCGCGGCGUAUUAGCUAGAUGGUGGGGUAACGGCUCACCAUGGCAAUGAUACGUAGCCGACCUGAGAGGGUAAUCGGCCACAUUGGGACUGAGACACGGCCCAAACUCCUACGGGAGGCAGCAGUAGGGAAUCUUCCACAAUGGACGAAAGUCUGAUGGAGCAACGCCGCGUGAGUGAAGAAGGGUUUCGGCUCGUAAAACUCUGUUGUUAAAGAAGAACAUAUCUGAGAGUAACUGUUCAGGUAUUGACGGUAUUUAACCAGAAAGCCACGGCUAACUACGUGCCAGCAGCCGCGGUAAUACGUAGGUGGCAAGCGUUGUCCGGAUUUAUUGGGCGUAAAGCGAGCGCAGGCGGUUUUUUAAGUCUGAUGUGAAAGCCUUCGGCUCAACCGAAGAAGUGCAUCGGAAACUGGGAAACUUGAGUGCAGAAGAGGACAGUGGAACUCCAUGUGUAGCGGUGAAAUGCGUAGAUAUAUGGAAGAACACCAGUGGCGAAGGCGGCUGUCUGGUCUGUAACUGACGCUGAGGCUCGAAAGUAUGGGUAGCAAACAGGAUUAGAUACCCUGGUAGUCCAUACCGUAAACGAUGAAUGCUAAGUGUUGGAGGGUUUCCGCCCUUCAGUGCUGCAGCUAACGCAUUAAGCAUUCCGCCUGGGGAGUACGGCCGCAAGGCUGAAACUCAAAGGAAUUGACGGGGGCCCGCACAAGCGGUGGAGCAUGUGGUUUAAUUCGAAGCUACGCGAAGAACCUUACCAGGUCUUGACAUACUAUGCAAAUCUAAGAGAUUAGACGUUCCCUUCGGGGACAUGGAUACAGGUGGUGCAUGGUUGUCGUCAGCUCGUGUCGUGAGAUGUUGGGUUAAGUCCCGCAACGAGCGCAACCCUUAUUAUCAGUUGCCAGCAUUAAGUUGGGCACUCUGGUGAGACUGCCGGUGACAAACCGGAGGAAGGUGGGGAUGACGUCAAAUCAUCAUGCCCCUUAUGACCUGGGCUACACACGUGCUGCAAUGGAUGGUACAACGAGUUGCGAACUCGCGAGAGUAAGCUAAUCUCUUAAAGCCAUUCUCAGUUCGGAUUGUAGGCUGCAACUCGCCUACAUGAAGUCGGAAUCGCUAGUAAUCGCGGAUCAGCAUGCCGCGGUGAAUACGUUCCCGGGCCUUGUACACACCGCCCGUCACACCAUGAGAGUUUGUAACACCCAAAGUCGGUGGGGUAACCUUUUAGGAACCAGCCGCCUAAGGUGGGACAGAUGAUUAGGGUG